GGGCUCGUGGCACAGUGGUAGUGCAUGUGAUUCCAGAUCAGUUCUAGUCUCCACAAGGUCAUCCGUUCAAUCCGGGUCGAGCUCA
rfam:Paxillus involutus ATCC 200175 unplaced genomic scaffold PAXINscaffold_1, whole genome shotgun sequence.